CUUACACAUUUUCUUUGGACGAUAAUGAUAUUACAUACGUAACCUUUCUAAAGUAUAUCUAAUACACACCUCUUUUGGCCAAGUAAGUCUCAUGCAAAAGGAGCGUGUGAAGAGGUGAAAAAGGAGAAUCUAUAUGAUUAUUUAAACACUGUAUAUUUAAAUUAAUUGAUCCAAUGGUCUAAAUAAUUUUUUCUUUUUAUUCUUUUCUACCUUUUAUUAUUUCACACAAAAUACAAAAAAAAAAAGAUAAAAAAACAUAUGCACUAAUACUUUCGUUACCAACCCCUCUUCUGGCGAGCUGACCAACUGGACGACUUACAAUUAAGGCAAAUCACCACAACAUCACAAACUGCAUUCAAUCCAAGUUUAUGAACAACAUAAAAUAAUCCAUCAAAAUAUAUAACAUCCUCAGCAAAAACCCGCUCUUCACCAAUAAAUUUUCACGAAUUUUCUCCAUUUUUGCAGUAGGCAAGCUCGUCUGUUUCAUUAAGGAUCACUUCCGCAAUAAAAUUCAGGGCAAGAUUUUGAUUUCUAUUUGCCGUGUCUUUUAAAUCUCUAAGUGUGUUUUUCUCUAAUUCCAUGGGUUUUACAGUAAAACCCUCUUCUUUUACGCCUUUUGCUUGUCGGAAAUGGAGUUUUGCUUACUCAGGUCGGUGAAACGUUUGGAUAGAGGAAAAAUAAUUGCACAUUUUUACCAAAUCAGAAGUAAGAUUAACAUAAUCAAUAACCAACGAAUUCCAACUAGUAGCAUCUUUUAGACCAAGCACCAGUGAAAUUAGGAGACCAAUCCCUAAUAGUAGCAUCAUAUUUAGGGAUUGUAGUUGAAGAAGAAACAACGGCAGAUGUGAUGAGGGGUUUUGUGGGGGAGGGGGGAAGAUAAGAGAUGGAUGGGUUAGGUGGGGUAGUAAAUAAGGGUUAAAUUA
rnacentral:lncRNA from 1 species